rnacentral:lncRNA from 1 species
GAAACCCCAAGGGAUCAGACAAGCAAGAACCUCAUUUCUCCUCUCUCCCUCUCAACUAAGUGCGGGGCUGCUGUCGGAAGAACCACCGUCGGCGAGCCAAGCACCACCGUCUGGCUCCAGUGGCUACUUCUCCACCUUCCCUCGGUUCCGUUCGCACCGUCCGCUGCAGAAUCCACUGCUAGCUGCGGCAACCCGUCACUGUCUCGUGCUCCGUCGCGAUUCCCUGGAAACGCAGCUGCCACCUGCUUCUUCGUCGUUGGAGCCUCCUCUUCACGAUCCCAAGGGAAGACCGUCGCAAGGAGUGGAGCUGGUCUUGCCAAGAUCGGAGAAACGCGCCGGAAUCCUCCGCCACACCUUCGAGG